GUGUAGCUCAGUGGUAGAGGACUUGCCUAGCAUGUAUGAAGUCCUGGGUUCCACCCACAGCCAGACA
rnacentral:tRNA from 1 species